rnacentral:rRNA from 1 species
AGUAUCUAAUCCUGUUCGCUACCCACGCUUUCGCACCUCAGUGUCAGUACAGAUCCAGGAGGCUGCCUUCGCCAUUGGUAUUCUUCACAAUAUCUACGCAUUCCACCGCUACACUGUGAAUUCUACCUCCCUCUAUCGUACUCUAGUGAAUCAGUUUUGGAUGCAGUUCCCAGGUUGAGCCCGGGGAUUUCACACCCAACUUAAUAAACCACCUACGCGCGCUUUACGCCCAGUAAUUCCGAUUAACGCUUGGACCUUCCGUAUUACCGCGGCUGCUGGCACGGAAUUAGCCGGUCCUUAUUCUGAUGGUAAUGUCACGGUUAUUGGGUAUUAACCAAUAACUUUUCUUCCCAACUUAAAGUGCUUUACAACCCUAGGGCCUUCUUCACACACGCGGUAUGGCUGGAUCAGGCUUUCGCCCAUUGUCCAAUAUUCCCCACUGCUGCCUCCCGUAGGAGUCUGGGCCGUGUCUCAGUCCCAAUGUGGCGGAUCGUCCUCUCAGACCCGCUAAAGAUCGUAGCCUUGGUGAGCCUUUACCUCACCAACAAGCUAAUCUUACGCAGGCUCAUCUAGUAGCGAAAGCUUCAAAGAGAGGCCUUCUUUCUCCCGAAGGAGGUAUACGGUAUUAAUCCGAGUUUCCUCGGGCUAUCCCCUUCUACUAGGUAGAUUCCUACGCGUUACUCACCCGUCCGCCGCUCUACUCAUAUCCGAAGAUACUUUCUCGCACGACUUGCAUGUGUUAAGCCUACCGCCAGCGUUC